AAGAUUUUAAGUUAAAAAAACUAAUAACCUUCAAAGUUUUAAAUAAAAAUUUUUUUUAGAUCUUA
rnacentral:tRNA from 1 species